AUGCUAGCUCGGUCGAAGUCUAAUGUUGUAGGGGGAGAUGAGGGAGAAACAUCAAUCAAUGGCAAGACAGUGGCAGUGGAGGUGCAGUCAAGGCAAUCUUCGAAAGGGUCAACAUUGUGUAGUAAGUCUGCGAUGGAUUGUAACGAUAUAGGUGGUGGAUCUCAGGAAGUGGAGAAGGCAGCGAAGGACAUUGCAGAAAAGGUGUGUAAUGAUUUUCUCAAUUAG